rnacentral:lncRNA from 1 species
ACCUUAAAGUUGCUGGAAGUUGACAGCCUGCAUCCGGGACGGAGCUGGGAGUCGGGGCUCUUUCCCAGCCCGCUCCUCCGGCGCCUCUCUCGCUCCCUUCCCGGCCACUGCUCCGUUUUAGUCCUGAGGAGGCAGCGAGCUGGCUCGGUUUGGGAAUCCUCGUGUACACCCCUCCCUUCUCCUCCGCGGGCUGAAUCAGCUUCUUUUACACCACCGGCAGCUGGACUGUGGCAGGGGCAGGUCUGCUUCUCUGCAGCUGAGAUGAGCUAAGUAGUUGCCUCCAUGUCCUUCCUCUAACCAUCUGAUAGUUUUAUGUGGUGACAUGAGCAGAAAAGACCCCUGUAGAGGCGCUUCAUUAAUGUGCCACUUCUUCGCUAUCAUAUGACAAUCGCCUUGGGAGGAGGGGGAGGGGAGCGGGGCGGAGGGGGCUGGAGAGAAAGGCAUAAUCUGGUUUCAUUUACACCUAUUUACAUGGACACCUUGGGCCAAUAGGAAUCAUUUCCAUUUGAAGACAAGGMGAGGGGUGAAAAGGCUCCGCAAGCGGAAUUGCAGUGCGAUGAAAGAAAAAAAAAACCGCUGGCGCAAAUGGGAACCCGUAAGCUGUAAAGUUAAAGAAAAGUCGACUUCCGUUGUCAUUUGCUGCUCCGAGUGCAAAUGAGGAUUUGUCGAAGCCAUGCUCAUCUCACUGCUGCUUUCUCCCACAGUCUGCUCUUGUCUUGCUGUUUGGCACAAAACAAGAAAGAAAAAACAAACCGAGGGUAAGGUCCCCCUUUCCCUGUGGCCGGAAUUGCAGAAUACCUAAGGAAUGUAGAUCUUUCCCGAAUUGCCUGUCUGAGACGCCGGGCAAAACCACCUUUAAAACACUAAGUUAUUACUAAACCAAACAUUGUGAAAUGGUUUUUAUGAUAAUUGACAGUGAUUUUAAGCUGCAUCUCCCCAAGAAUAAUGGCUUGCAUGUCACCGUUAUUUCCCCUCUUUAAAACCAAAGGUAAUAACCGUUUGAGGAAGUCGGACUAAUGCAAACUUUAAGGGAAACGUUUUCCCCCACUGUGUGAAGCCUUUAACGAGCUGGGAUUUAAUUAGGGUCCGAACUUUGAGUGCGUGUGUUUUUUCCCUGUUGGCAGGGGGCAUGUUGGCAAGCAGAUCUUUAACCUACAGCAGUAAAACCGGG